AGGAACAAACACACUCUGAGGUCACUCUGCUCCUCUGCAUCUGCAGGCAUUCUGGGACAGCAAAAGACAGGAAGAUAAACUGGAGCAGUUUAAUUGGGAAAUGGGCACUGGAGCAGCAGCAGCACGGAGUGUGGGGCACAGAUCCCAUCUCCUGUCUCUUGCCACUGGUACCUGGAGCAUUGUCCAACCUCUCUCUACAGCAAUCCAGACAGAAGUAAGAGGAAAUGGAAUAAAUCAGCUCAGGCUGCUCUGGCCUUUCUGCAAGAACUCCACGGGCUGGCACAGCU